UCAAAGUUUUUCGUCUUCUGUUGUUACAUUGGGGUCGAUAAGUUCGCCGUUCUUUACCUCUUCAUCACGUUUUGUAGCUUCAAUUUCCGAACGCAAUUGCUUAUAUUCUGGGCUAUCAUUCCCCACUAUAGUUAGCCAUUUUUAUAAAUGUUUGAUUCAAUUUACCUAUUUUUAUCCCAAAGUGGUUUUGUAGAAUAAAACUGAAAGAUUAGUAUUUUUAUUAUUUUGAGGGAUUGAAUUCUCAGCGCUAUAUUCAAGCUUGGUUUUUUAAUUUUUGAAUUAUACUUACAGCAGAUGCAACACCUAAUGUGCAAGCAAACAAUAAACCCAUGGGACCGCCACGACUCCUUCCGCUCAUCAUGGUGCACUGUAGUCGGAGAGUCCGAAUCAUAAACUGGGAAAUAGAAAGCCAUAUUGGAAAUUAUAUAAUAGCGACUACAAUCAUCAUAGGAUUUACUGAGGAAAUAACAAAACAUGUACACU